UACGUAGGGGGCAAGCGUUGUCCGGAUUUAUUGGGCGUAAAGAGCGUGUAGGCGGCCAGGUAGGUCUGCUGUGAAAACUCGAGGCUUAACCUCGAGCUGUCGGCGGAAACCAUCUGGCUAGAGUCCGGAAGAGGAGAAUGGAAUUCCCGGUGUAGCGGUGAAAUGCGUAGAUAUCGGGAAGAACACCAAAGGCGAAAGCGCUCUGCUGGGCCGAAACUGACACUGAGAGACGAAAGCUAGGGGAGCGAAUGGG
rnacentral:rRNA from 1 species